UACGGAGGGUGCGAGCGUUAAUCGGAAUUACUGGGCGUAAAGCGCACGUAGGCGGUUUCUUAAGCUAGAUGUGAAAGCCCCGGGCUCAACCUGGGAACUGCAUUUAGAACUGGGAGGCUAGAGUAUGGUAGAGGAGUGUGGAAUUUCCGGUGUAGCGGUGAAAUGCGUAGAGAUCGGAAGGAACAUCAGUGGCGAAGGCGACACUCUGGACCAAUACUGACGCUGAGGUGCGAAAGCGUGGGUAGCAAACAGG
rnacentral:misc_RNA from 1 species